UACGUAGGUGGCAAGCGUUGUCCGGAUUUACUGGGCGUAAAGCGCACGCAGGCGGUCUGUUAAGUUUGACGUGAAAGCUCCCGGCUUAACUGGGAGAGGUCGUUGAAGACUGGCAGACUUGAGGCGAUGAGAGGGGUGUAGAAUUCCCGGUGUAGUGGUGGAAUGCGUAGAUAUCGGGGGGAAUACCAGUGGCGAAGGCGGCGAUCUGGGAAGAUACUGACGCUGAGGUGCGAAAGCGUGGGGAGCAAACAGG
rnacentral:rRNA from 1 species